CCGGGGAGUGCAGGAUCCUGGUCUGUGUCCCCCGGCGCCCUGGGCUCUGGGGCCUUCGCCACUGGAAUCGCUCUCGGGGCCGCACAGCCCCGU
rnacentral:pre_miRNA from 1 species